CAGCAGCCACGUAAUACAGAGGGUGCGAGCGUUAAUCGGAUUUACUGGGCGUAAAGCGUGCGUAGGCGGCUUCUUAAGUCGGAUGUGAAAUCCCUGAGCUUAACUUAGGAAUUGCAUUCGAUACUGGGAAGCUAGAGUAUGGGAGAGGAUGGUAGAAUUCCAGGUGUAGCGGUGAAAUGCGUAGAGAUCUGGAGGAAUACCGAUGGCGAAGGCAGCCAUCUGGCCUAAUACUGACGCUGAGGUACGAAAGCAUGGGGAGCAAACAGGAUUAGAUACCCCUGUAGUCCCUGUCUCUUAUACA
rnacentral:rRNA from 1 species